GUGCUACUUCCACAGCACAUAUACUAAAAUUGGAACAGUACAGAGAUUAGCAUGGCCCCUGUGUGAGGAUGACAUGCAAAUUCGUGAAGCAUUUCAUAUAAGA
rnacentral:snRNA from 1 species